UGAGCGCCUCCGGACGCCGCCCUAGACUUCCGCGUGAAACAAGGGCGCACACACUGGAGCUGGUGGGAAGGUUAAGAAGAGCCAUUUAUUUGGAGCCUAGCACAGGGGUAAGGCUUGUCUCCAUGGCUCUAAAGAGACCACCUUCAGACGGCUAAGUGCUGCCCUGGGCUCUUUAGGAAGGGUUCAAUGUGAGCAAGCUGGAAGCCAUGCAGAAGAAAAGCAGCAGAAAGGAAGAAGGUUCAAGGGGGCGUGACUCAACCGGGCAAGCCAGAGCGAACCAGCUCAGCGAGGAAUGAUGAAAAAUAAAGUUCCCUGAUUAGAUGAGACCUGCAGAUCACUGGGAGUAGAAUCUGAAACUGUUCUCUGUGUUGCUCAAGAAGUCACUCCCCACACUUAUCAGAGAGCCAAGGUUGCCCCACCUCUACUCAGUUACAUAAAACUGUCCAAGAUUUUUCUGAGGAAGAAGUAGGCUUCACCUUUGGGAAAAUUUCAAAAAUGUGAUCUGCCUCCUCAUAUCCAAUCUAGGAAGCAACAAGCUUGGUGGUUUAGUGUGCUGCUUUUGAGGAAAAAAAGUUAAAGAUCUUGCCCCUUUAUAAGUGGCAGAAAGGGAGUCAAGAUAAAGUUUGUUGGACUUCAGUACUGUGAUAUGAACCACUACCCUUUACUGGCUCCUGCAGAAAACCAUGAAGCAGGGCCUCAAGCUACAGAGACUUCCAGGUUGUAAUUGAACCUUUUGUUUAUCCCCACCUCUCUAUCUGUCUGUCUCUACAUCAUCUCUGUCCCUCUCUUUACCUCAUUCAGGACCUGUCACUCACCCACUUUCUUGCUAUGGAAGAUGUGCCUGGUGCAUUUGCUUCUCCUGGUAAAUCUCUGACAGAGAAGGCCUCCCAAGCACAUUUUAGUUUGAAGCAGACUGCUGCAGCACCAUCUGCCAGCCCGAUAAAGACAAUCUUCCUUUAAUUGGGAAUGUUGAAAUGUUGGAAAUCCAGGCCAACUUCUAGCAUUACAGAGAAAACUUAGGGUCUGGAAUCCUUGGAGGAGGAAACCGAGAGCUGGGCCCACAUUUUCAGGGAAAACACACAACUUGCCUGAGUUUAGGAGAAAUGGGGCCUUGUGCUCUGUCCUUGGGAAGCUUCCCUGCACCCUCCCAAGUGGCCUCCGUGGUCACACUGCCAGGGUCCAGAUGCACUGGGAAAACUUUUUAGUUGUGUUCACAUGUUUCUAGCUUGUGUCUUUCCUUACAUAGGCGUGGGUUUUUUCUUAAUAAGGGUUCGGCCAAAACUAAGAUCCCUCUUUGUGAAUGUGUAGUUAUUGAGCAGAUGAUACAAAGACAUUUCUCCAGCUAUCCCACCAACUUUACUAUUCCAAAAAUGUACUUUACCCCAAAGAGAAUUUUACUUCAGACCUGGGAUGCAUUCUUUCUAAAAAGGUGUCAAUCAAAAUGAGCUAUACCUGAGAAUUAUUGCAUACAUAGUGUAUAUAAUAUUUUAAUUUGCGGCC